AGCGAACGUUAGCGGCGCGCCUAACACAUGCAAGUCGAGCGCGAAAGGGAGCAAUCCUGAGUAAAGCGGCGCACGGGUGCGUAACACGUAGGUAACCUGCCCUAUGGAGGGGGAUAACGUUCCGAAAGGAGCGCUAAUACCGCAUACAGCGUCUGAGGGAAACCUUGGAUGGCAAAGGUUGGGAUUCGCAAGAACCAAUCGCCAUGGGAGGGGCCUGCGGCCCAUCAGUUAGUUGGUGAGGUAAUGGCUCACCAAGACGAAGACGGGUAGCUGGUCUGAGAGGAUGAUCAGCCACACUGGUACUGGAACACGGACCAGACUCCUACGGGAGGCAGCAGUGGGGAAUCUUGGUCAAUGGGCGCAAGCCUGAACCAGCGACGCCGCGUGAGUGAUGAAGGCCUUCGGGUUGUAAAGCUCUGUGGGGCGAGACGAAAGCGUCGGUUCUAACAGGACCGACUUUGACGGUAUCGCCUUAGCAAGCACCGGCUAACUCUGUGCCAGCAGCCGCAGUAAUAC
rnacentral:rRNA from 1 species